rnacentral:rRNA from 1 species
GCCUAUGGCCANACCACCUUGAAUGCUCCAUUCUCAUCUUAUCUCGGAAGCUAAGAAGGCACCAGCCUCGUUAGUACUUGGAUGGGAAACCACCUGGGAAUGAUGGGUGCUGUAGGCU